UAUUGGCGGUAAAAAAAGAGGAAAAGAGAGUAGGUCUUGGGGGCUCUGGGCCGAGUGAGCGGGGGAACCUUCCAGCUCUUUGGACGAUCCCUACCGUGCGCGGCGACGGCGGUUGGACGCACCGGACCAGCCGUAACGUCGCCGCCCGGCCGCCGCCCACUGUCGGAGGCAGCGCUGUGGGGCGCGCAGCGGGCCGCCCGCGCCUAAGGCCCGGCACCGGAGUCCGAGGCCACCGUCCUGCUGAGGACUUAGGAGGAGAAGCAGGAGCGGCCGAGAUGGUGUCGACGUCGGCGCCGCGCCGAACCUCUGCUCUGCUCGCCACGACGCACUGAACUAAUCGCCGCCGAAUCUCUCACUCCUACCAUUCGACUCGACACCUAUAAGUUCAAAAUUCCCUUCCUCUGGAUGAUACCUCCUAGCGAUGCUGCAUUUCAAGCGAUUUUAGUUCCCUGUCAGUCAAUCAGACAAACGACAUAAACUACCAGUACGUCCUGGUGAACGGCGACUUAUAGAUUUCCUUAUAGACGAACUGUUGGAAUAGUUCGUAGGAGUCAAGGACUCUUUGGGUUUCGAACGAGACUGCUGUUGGAAGGACUUUUGACUACGACUAAAGAAUCUCAGCCAUUGGUGAGGAAUAUCCCUCCUACCAAGCUGUCGAAACCGACGAUAAAACCAACCACUGGUUGAAAUACAUCGUUUACAACCACUAAGUGCACGAUAGCGAAAUUUUCCACCGUUUCGUUAGGGUGAGAGUCUACUGGUAUUUGGAUUGAAUUUCCUACUCGCUCGUUCUUAACUCUUACGACCUCCACCACAAUCAAUACUACCAAAAUGAACCUCCCAACUACCUUAAGACCGUUACAGGGCACGUAAACCGUUGGCAAGUAACUUCUUAAUACACUAUCGUCUCGGACUGUAAGUCCUUUGUGUCCAGUCGUCACUGAACCUUAUGGACCAAGAACGAUGUCUACCAGAAACCCUACAACACGUUUUACUCCUACAAUAAAGUGAAUACUUUCGUUGACUGCCCGGACUCCGCCGCCGCCACUUCGACUGCCUUUACCGGGUGAGAGCCGUGUCGAGUCUGUUGUAGUGUACGUAACACCACGUUAAAGUGCUGACUUGCCCGCAUUCUAUUGCCCUUAAGUACCGUCACUUCAAAACAGUGAAGUCUAUAGGACUUUCUUACAUAAGGAGACUAGAUACCGACCAUAUUCUGAAUUUGUCGACACUUUCUUUGACCGGCUAACCAACUUAGAAAAACAUCCCUUAAAAACGUAGACUAAUAGCACUUUAACGUAGUCUAGGCAAUCCUCAACCUACGUGUUUUAGACCUCUUUAGGAGUUUGCACCUUGGACUACAAUGCAGGAAGGGUAGUAAUAAAACGUCAGACCACGUUAUUUUACCUCUUCCGGUUCCCGUAUGAUGAUGUGGUGGUGUUGUAGUAGUAUAGAAAUAUUAACUUCCUCACACCUCAUAAAAGAAAUAUCACAAAAACAAAACAAAUCAAAUAAGUGUUUUGACUCCAGAUGUACCGUAUGAGUACAGUACUCUAGGAUUUAACCUAGAUUUUUAACGUUUGAGGCAUGUAUAAAGACACAACGAAAGUACUUGGUACGACUUUAUACAUAGACUUAGCGC
rnacentral:rRNA from 1 species